UUUUAGAUGAAGCUGAUAUUUGUGUUUUACCUUAUUUCAUGUCUUUUUUAACUUUUGAACAGGUUGGAUUUCAAAUAAAAAUUAUGGUGGGCCUUAGGAUAGUUUCAAUGGUGGGAAUCACUCUCCCCACUGUUUUCUGUGGUGAGGUCCACUACAUCUUUUUAUCUGCCUCAUUCUUUGGCUCUUGCCCUAAAAUAAUAUCUUAAAAUGGAUGGACGGUGUGGAUACAACACAUACAUCAUAGUGGGAUCCACAAAACUUGGUGACGUCACUUCAGUAGCCAACUCGCUACUCAACCUAUGUAAGCCGCAAGUGCAGCAGUCUCUCUCUCUCACUCUCUCUCUGUCUCACACCCUCUCCCUCCUCUCGCUCUCUAUCUCUCUCUUCUUCUCUCUCUGAUCUCUCCACCCUCUCCUCUCUCUAUCUCUCUCGCAUCAUCUCCCUCUUCUCUGUCUCUCUGUCUCUCUCUUCCUCUCUCUCUGAUCUCUCUUGUGGUCCGUUGUCGAACGCCCUACCCACGCACGCGGUUGAAGAUCUCUCUUGCAGUCUCUCUUGCAGUUGAAGGUCAUUCACGACAGUGAGUUCGUAACUCGCACAUAUUCUGUGAUGGCACUAGGUGGGAGACCACGUCGUUCGCGCACUGCAUCUACCCCUUCUACCCGUGAUGUGACGGAGACAGCAUCGCAGGCGUCUGAUCCCUCAGUCGCGCAUACACCAAGCACUGCAUCAUCAUCGAUCAGCCAACGAGGACGUGGACCCACGCGUGGGUUGCUUUUAGAGCGACUUACGCGUGAGGGUAGGGUGACGGUAGAGUUGCCACAAGACUGCAUUAAACAUGUUGGGAAUAAUGCCAGGUUGUUUACGUCGGAGGUCGGUGUCUUAUGCCAAUCUCUGAUCCCCCACCACCCCCCGUUGGGCGGAUGUGACAGAUGAUGUGCGGCAGCUCAUCCGUCAGCGCCUUCAGGU